rnacentral:rRNA from 1 species
AGCGAACGCUGGCGGCAGGCCUAACACAUGCAAGUCGAACGAACCUUUCGGGGUUAGUGGCGGACGGGUGAGUAACACGUGGGAACGUGCCUUUAGGUUCGGAAUAACUCAGGGAAACUUGUGCUAAUACCGAAUGUGCCCUUCGGGGGAAAGAUUUAUCGCCUUUAGAGCGGCCCGCGUCUGAUUAGCUAGUUGGUUGAGGUAAUGGCUCACCAAGGCGACGAUCAGUAGCUGGUCUGAGAGGAUGAUCAGCCACAUUGGGACUGAGACACGGCCCAAACUCCGACGGGAGGCACAGGGGGGAAUUUUUGGGAAUGGGGCAAAGGCCGAACGCAGCCUGGCGGGGUAAGUGAUAAGGGGUUAGGAUUGGAAAAAUUCUUCCCCGGGGGCGAAUAAGGAGGGUACCGGGAGAAGGAGCCCCGCCAAACUUGGU